rnacentral:rRNA from 1 species
CACGUAGGGGGCAAGCGUUGUCCGGAUUUAUUGGGCGUAAAGAGCUCAUAGGCGGCUUAGUAAGUCGGGUGUGAAACCUCCAGGCUCAACCUGGAGACGCCACCCGAUACUGCUGUGGCUAGAGUCCGGUAGGGGAGCGUGGAAUUCCUGGUGUAGCGGUGAAAUGCGCAGAUAUCAGGAGGAACACCGAUGGCGAAGGCAGGUCUCUGGGCCACUACUGACGCUGAGAAGCGAAAGCAUGGGGAGCGAACAGG